CAAAAAAUAGUUUAUUAGAAUAUUAAUUUUGGGAAUUAAUGGCGUGUAACUUUAAGUAUACUUUUUUGA
rnacentral:tRNA from 1 species